AGAGUUUGAUCCUGGCUCAGAGCGAACGCUGGCGGCAGGCUUAACACAUGCAAGUCGAGCGGGCGUAGCAAUACGUCAGCGGCAGACGGGUGAGUAACACGUGGGAACGUACCUUUUGGUUCGGAACAACUGAGGGAAACUUCAGCUAAUACCGGAUAAGCCCUAACGGGGAAAGAUUUAUCGCCGAAAGAUCGGCCCGCGUCUGAUUAGCUAGUUGGUGAGGUAAUGGCUCACCAAGGCGACGAUCAGUAGCUGGUCUGAGAGGAUGAUCAGCCACACUGGGACUGAGACACGGCCCAGACUCCUAUCGGGAGGCAGCAGUGGGGAAUAUUGGACAAUGGGGGCAACCCUGAUCCAGCCAUGCCGCGUGAGUGAUGAAGGCCCUAGGGUGUAAAGCUCUGUUCUGCGGGAAGAAAUGACCGGUGGCNCAAGAAUUUCCCCGG
rnacentral:rRNA from 1 species